ensembl:lncRNA
CUUUCUUAGUUGAAGACCCCUUCUUGAUAAUGGAUGUUUUAUAGUUAGAGACUCUGUCACUAGUGGGGUUUCACUCACCGUCCUGGUGCCCUAUCAGUAAUUACUUCUUCCCUGUGGGGCUGUUCAGCAGUGACCAUAUCAGUGUAUCUAUGCGCAACAAUGUGCUGAAGAACUUUUGAAGAAAAAAUAUACAGAGACAAAAGCAAGGCUUUUCUAACGAGGAAUGAAUAUCCAUACCCUGGAUUUUCUUGGUUGUGUCUGCAGUGUAAUUAAGUAAAAGUUGAACUCUUUCACAUGUAAAUUAAGUCACUGAAAGCACUGGCAGCUGUAAUCAUUUCUCUCUUUGCUUGUGAGACUUUCAGGUUUGCAGGCUACCUUCUUAAUUGAAAAUUCUUAAAAUUGAAAUUUUUGUGCAUGUUUUCUUUGUCACAUUGCAGUUUCUCUACUGCCAUAUUAUGUUAUAUGAUGGAAAUCAUGCCAUGGUCAAUUUAAUUUGAGGCUAAUGAAUAUGCCUUUUUAGACCUCUCUGAGGAAAGCAGUUAAUAGAAGGGCAUUUCAAAGAACUAUCUUAUUUUAGAAUUUCAGCCUCAAGAGAUUUUUCCCAAUCUAAGAGUAUUGAUUUUCUGUAUGUGACCUAUUUCAGUUGUAACAAAUAAACCUCAUUUAUAUGCUUAUGAAGAACUUCAGCUGUCUACAUGAGAAGACUUGAAAGAAUUUUGCUAUCUUGAAAUCUCCCUGAUUCAUGAAAACUGAGUAGGAUUCUACCAUUACAUUUUAACUCAAAGUGCUGUAAAUCAUAUUUUCAGCUGAGGUCACCGCAUGUAAGCCUUCAUGGUCAAAUAAUCAUACAGUUUACAUCCAUAGGUCUAGAGACUGUGGCUGUUGACUAUUCUUCUCACUGUAUUUCUCACAUUUUUCUAUGUACCUUAUUAAUCUCUGUGCAGGUGGUAUCUCAAAAUGUUAAGUAUGUUGUAUGUAAAUGAGGUAGCUGUGAAGUAGAGGCAGCUUAUGGGAUCUGUUGAGUCGAGUGAUGUUCUGGGAAAUUCUGGACAAUUAUAUGUGGUUCUGGACUGGAACUGUAAAAUCAUCUUCCUAUUCAAUGAUCUUGAAUAGUAUCUUGUUGGGAACUUUCAAGCUUGCCAAAGACUGUGAGUUGUUUACACACAGAGAUUAUGCAUUUAAUAUAGGUUAAAACAGCACAAUCCUGCUACUGCAGUAUUGGUAUUAUGUUGCUUGGCACUUCUAUAGCUGUUCUCCUAUGGGAUAGAGGGGUUUUCAUUCUGAUAUAAAGUAUCUGUGUAUUUUUACUGGUGUCCAUGAAAGGGAUUGUACAGGUAUCACAUUUUACUUAAAGAAGCAGAAAUACAGAGUGUAACACCAUAAGCCAAAUAUUAUAUAUUUAUUUUGCUUGUCUUGUAAUUAGUAUUAACCUAUAAGCAACCCAAUACUGUGGUUAUACUUUUUGGCAUUAGCGUAACACCAUUCAUGUAUGUUGACUGCUAUAUCAUUCAUAAAUAAACCCAUCUUUGCCU